UCCUGCCUUUAUCUAACCUGAGUUUUUGCCCUGGUCCAGUCCUGAUUCUUGCCAUGUCUAUUGCCUGGAUUUUCAUGCACCUGCUAACAACCUGUUUAUCUUUUUUUUCACCUGCCUGAGUUCCUGUACCUGGUCCAUUGUGAAACACUGCAUUUUGCGACUGGAAUGGUUAGAUUGCAUAACUGUGGUAUGGAAGCAUUAUAAGAUGAGACCUAGGGUGCACUAGCGGAAAAUGAGCUACUUUUGUGUACAUACCAGUGGCUGCACAGUGGAAUAGUGGUGAGCACAGUAAACUCAAAACAAAAAGGUCUCCAUUGCUGUGCAGGAGUUUGCAUGUCCUUCCACUGCAUUUCUUUCACUCUGGCUUCCUCCUCAGUGUGGCAGACAUUCCAGAGUGCAAGCAUCCUUAGAUGACAUGUUGGACCUACAAGACUGGAAAUGACAGUUUAAGUCUGCCAAGAUGUAUACACCUUUCUUCACAUGAAAAAAGAUAUGCUGAUUGGCUAGUGUGAGCUGUUGUCCAGGUUGCUUCUAGGAAGAGGGAGAUGAUAAUUUAAGCACUGGUAGAGGCUAAAUGAAAGUUUUCACCCUUCACAAUGAUGCUGGCAGUGAAAGAGAGACAGACGGACAGACGGACGUUGCUUCCACUCUUGUCUCGGAGGGUCCGGCCGACACCCCACCUCCACUCCUGUUCUGCCAGAGGGCCCGUUUGACGUCCCUGCCUUCCCCGUCACUACCUUACUCUGCAGAUGACGCUGUUGCCACAAAACCGCCACCAUCCUCCUGCGCUAUCGGGGUCCGAGCUAGCUUCUAUGUCUCCUUUAUCUCAAGCCCCAGCCAUUCCUACAUGGGACUCUGAGGGUCCUUUGCUAGACCCCACAUCCACUGAAACUCUGUUCCUCCUUUGAAUGACCUCCUGGUGUUCUACCAGACGUUCAAGGACAAUAAAUACUUAUCCAAUGCACUAUCCAUUUUUUUAUGCUUACAAUGCUAAGGUUUAACCAAAUGAAAAAGGAAGCUGUUGUUAAGGUGUAUCAUUCUUAUCAGUUUACGUUAGACAACGUUUUCCAAUUAAAAUACGUCAGAUAGCAACUGGAAAGAUUAAGUAGGGCUUUAGUUGGGUGUCCAUCUACACAACUAUCUCCCCAAUGAUUCUAUUCGGAAAUUUUAAUAUCUUCCUUCUUAGUUGAACAAAAUGGUUAAAGAUGCUUUAUAUUCCCUAUUAUUGGCUUUCCUUAAAAGUGUCUGGAUUUUAAACUGCAUUGGUGUUUCCCAUAAAAUGUUUUUGAUAGAGGAGGGAACAAGAGUCCAGAGUGAGAGUUUGUAAAUGAAGGCCUAAAUUUGCCCAUGUCCUCUUGAGGGACCACACACUUUAUGGAUUACUUCCUCCUAUUCUCUGAUCCAAGAACAGCAGAACUUGUGCUGGCGCCAUGAUCUGUGAUGGCAACCAGGAUAAAUGAUACAAACACUGGGGGAUGCAUGGCAGCUUAAAAGCCUCUGUCCUAAAUAAAAGUUACAAAGGAACUGGAAGAAAAAAGAGGCUGUCAUAGUGAACAGAUGAGGAGCAGCCAUGUGAAAUGUAAAAUCAUUAGACAGAGAUGGAUCCAGGCUGCAGACUUCACUGUCAUCUCUCUGGAGUUAUGUCUGGUUCUGUGCCAACAUGCUUGUCUAUCAUUCUUUUUCUGCUGGCUUUUUUGUUUCCCUACUUUUCCAUAGGUCAGCCAACCUGAAACUGCAAUUUCCACGUUUUAAACUCAAAGAAAAA